AUGCCCAGGACCCACCCCAGGCCAGUUAAGCAAGGAUUACGGGUGUGCGAAGAAAGCUGCUCAAAUGAAUCUAAUGUGAAGCUAGCUGAGAACCAGAUGGCUCAGACUUUGAAGCUGGAGAUGGACGCGGGGAGAAAGGAGGUGUUUGGUCUCAUACCCCGAGGAAGACGGUGUAUUGGAAGCUGCUCCUCGGUGUCUCCUGAUCGUCGGCAUGCACACGUGGGUGUGUGGAAGUCCCCAGAGAUCUCACGGAAACAGGCCGUUCUGCAGCUCUGCAGUGGAGCGCGACAGUGUGCACGUCCACCGCCUUCCCAGGGGCCAUAACGCAUAAAACAGAUGCAGGUGGAGCUGCUGCGGUUGGAAUGGGGGCUGGGUCCUCCCGGGAGGAACAAACGCUGGCGCUCUACAGAACUCAGUUUGUGAGCUAUCAGGUGAAUCCACAGCCCCGCCACCACACCAAGAAAUCAGAGGUGGGUGUGUCUUCCUUUAUAAAUCACGUUGGAUGUAUCUGCAGGUUAACUAGAUACCUGACUGCCUUCCAGACAGAAGGAUGACUCACACUGUCACUCCCCGUGAUUUUGAUCCUAGAACCAUUCCUGAUUUCCUAGAAACAAAGAGUCAAGGCCAGAAUUGAACCAUGGAGGCAAACAAUAUCCCAGUCCCCAGAAAGAAACACACAGUAACAGCACAAAGUUACCUAAAACAACCUGGGUCAAGCCUGCUUCUAAACGCCUGCUGCAUGCUGCUUCUCUGCGCUAUGAGGUGGCGCCUUCUGACGCGAGCCUAAGGCACAGAGAGCUUCAGUAACUUCUCCAUGGUCUCUGCUUAUUCAACGAUGAAGCGAAAGGAUCGGUCUAAUCCAGUGGCGGUGAACCCACGGCAGGUGUCCCACAGAGGACUGUUGGCAUCAUGGAAAGUUCUGAAGGAUUUGCCAUCCCUGGGUUCGUCUGCCCCGUGAUUGGGUUCGUAAGUCCUCUUUGAUGAGGAUAGCUCUAAAAGUUCCCAUCCCGAUGUUGAUGCUUUCUACUUUAGAGAGUUCUUUUUUCUCUUUGCUUCUGCUGCUUUUCCAAGAAGUUGAGAAAUCUGCGGCCCCUUCUCCUGUGGACUGACACUAUUCACCUCGCAGAAUCCAUCUGCGGACAGCAACUGUAGGUCACAGUCCAAGUCGCUCCCCAUUUUCAUCCUUGUAGAGAGUGAACUGCGAUGCGGAACUAUCUUUAGUGCUCAGAGCAGAGCUCUUGGAGGCUGCUCGUGGUAUCGGAGCUCGAGCCAAAUAAAGGUUAUUUCUGGUCCUCAGAGCCUCUGCCGUCUGUUGCCCUACAGUUUCUUCCACUUGGCUGUGCUUUCUGUGCCUGGAUGCUGUGUCCUCAUUUCAGCACUGACCUCCCCCAACUCCCCGUAAGUCAAGCGGCACCCACCGCUGAACUUGAUGUUCCCCAUCUUGGCGGUGGGACAUUUGAGUGUUCAGACAGAAGAUAGUCUCUUUCUUACAUCAAGGUUGGCUUAGCUUGGAAAAGUCAAGUAAGCAAAUUGAUUCACCUAUGCCUCUUUUUUCUUUAUAAUAGUUAAUAUUAAUAAAAU
rnacentral:lncRNA from 1 species